UGGGGAAUAUUGGACAAUGGGGGCAACCCUGAUCCAGCCAUGCCGCGUGAGUGAUGAAGGCCUUAGGGUUGUAAAGCUCUUUUACCAGGGAUGAUAAUGACAGUACCUGGAGAAUAAGCUCCGGCUAACUCCGUGCCAGCAGCCGCGGUAAUACGGAGGGAGCUAGCGUUGUUCGGAAUUACUGGGCGUAAAGCGUCCGUAGGCGGUUAUUUAAGUCUGCUGUCAAAGACCACAGCUCAACUGUGGGCGGGGGGUGGAAACUGGGUAACUAGAGUUCGGUAGGGGUAGAGGGAAUUCCCAGUGUAGCGGUGAAAUGCGUAGAUAUUGGGAAGAACACCAGUGGCGAAGGCGCUCUACUGGGCCGAGACUGACGCUGAUGGACGAAAGCUAGGGGAGCGAAAGGGAUUAGAUACCCCCGUAGUCC
rnacentral:rRNA from 1 species